rnacentral:rRNA from 1 species
AUUGAACGCUGGCGGAAUGCUUUACACAUGCAAGUCGAACGGCAGCACGGGGGCAACCCUGGUGGCGAGUGGCGAACGGGUGAGUAACACAUCGGAACGUGCCCAGUCGUGGGGGAUAACGUAGCGAAAGCUACGCUAAUACCGCAUACGAACUCUGGUUGAAAGCGGGGGACCCGUAAGGGCCUCGCGCGAUUGGAGCGGCCGAUGGCAGAUUAGGUAGUUGGUGGGGUAAAGGCCACCAAGCCGACGAUCUGUAGCUGGUCUGAGAGGACGACCAGCCACACUGGGACUGAGACACGGCCCAGACUCCUACGGGAGGCAGCAGUGGGGAAUUUUGGACAAUGGGCGCAAGCCUGAUCCAGCCAUUCCGCGUGCAGGAUGAAGGCCCUCGGGUUGUAAACUGCUUUUGUACGGAACGAAAAGCCUGAGCUAAUACCUCGGGUCCAUGACGGUACCGUAAGAAUAAGCACCGGCUAACUACGUGCCAGCCGCCGCGGUAAG